AGGCAAAGGCAAAGGCAAAGGCAGAGAGAGGUCUUCCAUCCUCUGGUUCAUUCCCCAAAUGGCUGCAACAGCUGGAGAUGGGCUGAUCUGAAGCCAGGAGCCAGAAGCCUCUUCUGGGUCUCCCACGCAGGUAAGGGGCCCAAAGGGCUUGGGCUGUCUUCUACUGCUUUCCCAGGCCAUGGCAGCUUGCUGGAUUGGAAGUGGAGCAGCCAGAACUGGAACUAGCACCCAUAUGGGAUCCCGGCAUUGCAGGGGUGGCUUUACCCGCUACACCAAAGCGCCAGCCCCCCAACAGCAUAACUUUCACGAUACAGGUUUCACUACAUUGUAAACAAGAACAUGGAUGCUCCAAGAAAGGACUGUUCUGAGUAAGAGCUGAGGACCCAGAGCCAAGACUGCUGCACGACCGUGGUCACCAACACAGUACAGGGGUGAGGCUCAUGGGAGGAUGUGGCAGGCUAAGCAUCGCGGUCCCAGGUCUGAGAUGCAUCCAGAAGACAGGGCCAGGGCCAGGAGCCGGGCACCCCAUGCACCUGCGGAGAAAGACAUGAAGGCCUCCUGCUUCACGAAGCGGCCCUGGGCGUCCAGGAAGUGUCCCGGGUGGAAGCGGAAGGGCUUCUCCCAGACGGCCUCGUCCUUCAGCACCG